UUUUAGUUUUGGCCCAUGGGCUGGGAGCGUGUAUUUGCGGUCCAGUGGGUCUGCUUUGUCUUCUUUGUCCCGAAUCGCAAAUGUAUCGUCUGCAUAUCUACAAUAUAGUUUGGCUCCCGCUAUGAAUUCUUUUAGGAUGGUUGUUUCUAUUUUUCGAAUUGUUGACUCUGCAAGGAGCUGCCUGUGGGCGCACCUUGGGUUUGUCUAUGGAAUUUGUUCCUAAAUUCAAAGUGUGAUUUGUUGCAUAAUGGGUCCGCUGGGUCCCUGAACAACGCUGGAUUCUCGUUAGCUUGGACCGGGUUUUCAGGAAGGAAUCUGUAUAGAUGAAUGCACACUGGGGCAAUGCUGAAUGACCCCACACAAACGAUAGCUAGUAAAAUUAAUAGGCUGCUAAGGCAUAAAGACAUGCCGGACUUCUUAAAAGUAAGACAAGUGCCUAACCCUGCUUGACCAAGGCUUUUUGGGUAUGCUAAAACCCACAAGUCUCCAAUAACAUUCAGACCAAUAGUGGAAAAGUUCCGAGCGCCCAUGUAUUACCUAGAAAAAGCAAUAGCUUCACGGAUAGCUGGAUUAAUAAAUUCGUAUGAUCACACUGUACCAUCCUUGAAAGUAUUCUUAGAAAAAAUCAACAGGAUGCCUGUCUUAGAUAAUGAGAUAAUUGCGGUGUAUGAUUUUGAAAAAAUCUACCCGUCCAUCAGCAUUGCCCCAGUGUGCAUUCAUCUAUACAGAUUCUUUCUUGAAAGUUUGGUCCAGGCUAGCGAGAGUCCAGCGUUGUUUAGGGAUUUAACGGAC
rnacentral:lncRNA from 1 species